rnacentral:rRNA from 1 species
GACGUAGGGCGCGAGCGUUGUCCGGAUUUAUUGGGCGUAAAGAGCUCGUAGGCGGUUUCGUAAGUCGGAUGUGAAAACUCCAGGCUCAACUUGGAGACGCCAUUCGAUACUGCGAUGACUUGAGUCCGGUAGGGGAGUGUGGAAUUCCUGGUGUAGCGGUGAAAUGCGUAGAUAUCAGGAGGAACACCUGCGGUGUAGACGGCUUACUGGACCAUAACUGACGCUGAGGCACGAAAGCGUGGGUAGCAAACAGG